rnacentral:rRNA from 1 species
CGGACCGGCGCACGGGUGCUUAACGCGUAUGCAACCUACCCAUAACAGGGGGAUAACACUGAGAAAUUGGUACUAAUACCCCAUAAUAUCAUAGAAGGCAUCUUUUAUGGUUGAAAAUUCCGAUGGUUAGAGAUGGGCAUGCGUUGUAUUAGCUAGUUGGUGGGGUAACGGCUCACCAAGGCGACGAUACAUAGGGGGACUGAGAGGUUAACCCCCCACACUGGUACUGAGACACGGACCAG